CCGCCUUGGGCUGGCCUUCUGGACUAGGUGUGCCUUUGCGCUAAUCGCGCCUACUCCAAUGUCCCUGCUCCCCAAGCAUCAUUCUCUGUUCUUGGAUCUGAAUCAACACGACCCCAAAAGAGAAAAAGACUGAUAAUGACCAAUCCAUGAAACAAAUAAACAUUAUUAAUUUUGAAAGGCGGAAGAGUGACACCGAAAUGGCCACCGUUCUCAUGGACUGCUGUAGUCAACAAAGCAUUGAUGGUGAUUCACAACCCUGGAGAGCAUUGAAGAUGAUGUGGUUGAAUGUGUAAAUGGAUAGCUUGGACCUGUUGGAUGGAGGAAACAAAGUCAGCCAUAGAUGAUGACGAACAUCCUAACCCUUCAGCUGCAAUACAUGCGUCGCCAUCAGCCAUUUUCAUGUGACGUUCUACCUGCUACACCAGAAACCAACCAAUCAACUUGCGCAUCAGCCAUUGAGAAUUGAACCUCUGUAGCAGGGCCGUAAUGAUGCAUUACGUUCAUACUGGCUCUGAUGACCUUCUAGUAGGGGGUGAAAGGUGGGAACCAGGAGCAGCACAUAACAGUUUGUGGCCUGGAUGUGUGGGACCUGGCAACAGGGUCGUCAUUACAAGCUUCUGUGUGUGGCGAGUACUGUCCUCCCGUGAUCCACUGCGGCACCAUGUAGGCUUUUUUUAUCCUGGGAGCUGGUAGCUAGCUGUAUAUGUCCUGCCUUGCAUGUGUGUUUUAUUUAAGUGUUCAAUUGUAAUUGUCCCAUAUUGUUUUUUGAAAACUCACUUUUACCUUGCAAAGUUUUUAAUUGUGGAUUAUGUGGAUUUUUACAUAACAGAGAUUUAUGUGGUCAGUUUAUCAUGCAGCAAGUAGUCCACGUGAUCCAUGGUUCUGUUAGUGUUGAUGCUAAUGGGAGAAAAAAAAGUAAUAUCAAUGUAUUGAAAUCACUUAUUAGCGCAAGUGUCAAUGGCCUUUUCAUAGUAUUGAUUAUAACUCAAUGUAAUUGUGUAUUAAUUUCUCAAGUUUCAUCAGGAAAGGUCAAAUACAGUACUUGUAACGAGCAUAAUGUCUGCCAUUCUGUAUGAACAAAAGUUUCCUACCAAGCCCUUUGCACUGAUGUUCCUGGAGAUAAUCUUGCUUGUUUGGUAGUGGGACAGGAGGGAUGAGUCUGUGGGGGUUGUUGGCACUGUGGGAAAACAUAAAAUAAAUUGUUACUUCAAUAGUACACGAUACAAUGCAACGUCAUAUUCCCGUAUACACCCUACUGUAUCCUUUGCAUAUGACAAAUAAACGUUG